CAGUAUCCAAUGCAUUCUGGGAUGUAGAAUGAAACACAAUGGCGGCGAAACUGAAUCGCUUGAAACUUUUUUUUGUGGUUUGUUAUUUCCUUACAGCAAUAUUGCUACAAAUUAGUCUAACGUUUGCUACAGAGUUAACGUGUGACGACAACGGCUACAUUUUAUAUUUGCCUUGCAUGGGUCGAUUUGGAAACCAAGCCGACGACUCUCUGGGGUCUUUGGCAAAAACGCUGAGUUGCACAAUGACAGUGUACCGCCACCACGCGCCUCCGUGUUCAAAUGUACAUGUCCCCAUACAGUGAGUUCUUCCAGCUGGAGGCUCUGACACACUACCACGGCGUGGUAAGCCUAGAGGACUUCAUGGAGCAGCUUGCCCCAACACUCUGGCCUAAGGGCAGACUACUGAGUCAGCUGCCCAGAGUGUAGACAGGAAGUCCUGCCCCAUAAAGGGGAGUGUUGUGAUUGAGGUGCAGAGUCAGAGAUGAUUAAAGAAUUGUUGUUUAGGUAUUGAGCCUAGUUACCAAAAAAAUACACUUUGAAACUGGUCAGAGAGAUUGUUUGAAAACUAGGUCAUGGAACAGAGUCUGUCUUUUUAUAUCAAUUAAAUUCCUUUCUUGUAACUAAUUCAUUGAUUUGGUGUUGUUCAUGCCAAUGAAAAGAAUGCAUGGCACAGUAAAACACUGCCCCCAGGUGGAUUGUUACUAUAACUGUAUUUACCCACACAUCUCUCACAUACCAUCUAUACAAACAAAAAUAUAAAUGCAACAUGGAAAGUGUUGGUCCCAUGUUUCAUGAGCUGAAAUAAAAGAUCCCAGA